rnacentral:rRNA from 1 species
AUACGAAGGGGGCUAGCGUUGUGCGGAAUUACUGGGCGUAAAGCGCGCGUAGGCGGAUUGGUCAGUUAGGGGUGAAAUCCCAGGGCUUAACCCUGGAACUGCCUCUAAUACUGCCAGUCUUGAGUUCGGGAGAGGUGAGUGGAAUUCCUAGUGUAGAGGUGAAAUUCGUAGAUAUUAGGAAGAACACCAGUGGCGAAGGCGGCUCACUGGCCCGAUACUGACGCUGAGGCGCGAAAGCGUGGGUAGCAAACAGGAUUAGAAACCCUAGUAGUCC